rnacentral:sRNA from 1 species
UACAGUUUAUAAAUUAAACCGUUGUGCC